CAUCACCACAAAAUCAUGGCAUCGAUAUUGCGGGCCACCAAAUUUGUCCGCUAUUUCGCCGGAUUCGCGAGGAACAUAGAUUUCAACACAGUCCGGAAGACGGAAGGAAGUUUUAUUCAGCAGUCGCAAUGUUCUGUGAGCGGUUAUGCUACAUCUGCCGCUAGUUUCAGUCAGGGACUCGACCGAUCUUUGAAGCGGCUGGAUGAAGAUGUAAAAUGCUCUGGAAGAAACGCCGAGAUCUGGAAGAUGUUCCGGAGGAAAUCCGUAUCUUCCAGCGCUCAAUCUUGACUGGUUAUUCGUUGUUGCGAAAACCUAGAGGAGCUUCCCGAGGUGCGUACAGCUCUGGUUCAGGAGUAAUGGGAAACAUUGAACAGCUUGAACGUAGCAAUGGACAUUUCCCACUACAACGCCCUUCUUCGGGUGUAUUUGGAUAAUGAGCACUCUGUAGGGACCACUGGAUACGACACACUCCUUCUCGCCAACGGAACAAGGGCGUUGAACUGAAUCGGGUAACCUAUCAGCGAUUGAUUUCGCGCUACUGCCAAGAGGGAGACAUCGAGGGAGCAAACAAGAUUCUGGAAUUCCUGCGAGAGAAGCAGCAUGAAUGCGUUUUCAACGUUGCAUAAAAUUAGGCAAAUUAGUUGGUAACAUUAAACGAUAUUCAAUAAAAUGUUGAAACUAGAAAACAAUUUCUAUUUUUAUCCGAAAAUCUCCCAAUACAUUAAAAAUAUUGCGUUUGUGUGCGUGCUCUUUUCAUGAACGAUUCCUAAAACGGUUUGAAUAAUGUUGGAAUAAAAUAAAGUCAAAUCGUUACACAACCAUUGACGUAAGCGUUUAAUAAUGAGAGCUCCUCGAAAAAACUAUAACGAUGAC